rnacentral:snoRNA from 1 species
UGCACUGCGUGGUAUCUGCCCUCAGCAUUUUUUUUCCUCCUGAGGAGUUCAAAAGACAGUGCUAUAGAAAUUCAGUAUCUGGCAUCAUUGGUUUUCUUGGCUUUGUGCAUGUUAAACCUGUAUUUCUAUUGGUACAGUA